rnacentral:rRNA from 1 species
UACGAAGGGGGCUAGCGUUGUUCGGAAUUACUGGGCGUAAAGCGCGCGCAGGCGGUUCUCCAAGUCAGUGGUGAAACGCCCGGAGCUCAACUCCGGAAAUGCCAUUGAAACUGCAAAACUUGAGUACGAGAGAGGUGAGUGGAAUUCCCAGUGUAGAGGUGAAAUUCGUAGAUAUUGGGAAGAACACCGGUGGCGAAGGCGGCUCACUGGCUCGUAACUGACGCUCAGGCGCGAUAGCGUGGGGAUCAAACAGG